rnacentral:rRNA from 1 species
UACGUAGGGGGCUAGCGUUGUCCGGAAUCAUUGGGCGUAAAGAGCGUGUAGGCGGCCCGGUAAGUCCGCUGUGAAAGUCGGGGGCUCAACCCUCGAAUGCCGGUGGAUACUGUCGGGCUAGAGUGCGGAAGAGGCGAGUGGAAUUCCUGGUGUAGCGGUGAAAUGCGCAGAUAUCAGGAGGAACACCAAUUGCGAAGGCAGCUCGCUGGGACGUAACUGACGCUGAGGAGCGAAAGCAUGGGGAGCGAACAGG